rnacentral:rRNA from 1 species
GGGUUGUGAGGUUAAGCGACUAAGCGUACACGGUGGAUGCCCUGGCAGUCAGAGGCGAUGAAGGACGUGCUAAUCUGCGAUAAGCGUCGGUAAGGUGAUAUGAACCGUUAUAACCGGCGAUUUCCGAAUGGGGAAACCCAGUGUGAUUCGUCACACUAUCAUUAACUGAAUCCAUAGGUUAAUGAGGCGAACCGGGGGAACUGAAACAUCUAAGUACCCCGAGGAAAAGAAAUCAACCGAGAUUCCCCCAGUAGCGGCGAGCGAACGGGGAGCAGCCCAGAGCCUGAAUCAGUGUGUGUGUUAGUGGAAGCGUCUGGAAAGGCACGCGAUACAGGGUGACAGCCCCGUACACAAAAAUGCACAUGCUGUGAGCUCGAUGAGUAGGGCGGGACACGUGGUAUCCUGUCUGAAUAUGGGGGGACCAUCCUCCAAGGCUAAAUACUCCUGACUGACCGAUAGUGAACCAGUACCGUGAGGGAAAGGCGAAAAGAACCCCGGCGAGGGGAGUGAAAAAGAACCUGAAACCGUGUACGUACAAGCAGUGGGAGCACGCUUCGGCGUGUGACUGCGUACCUUUUGUAUAAUGGGUCAGCGACUUAUAUUCUGUAGCAAGGUUAACCGAAUAGGGGAGCCGAAGGGAAACCGAGUCUUAACUGGGCGUUAAGUUGCAGGGUAUAGACCCG